rnacentral:rRNA from 1 species
AACGAACGCUGGCGGCAUGCCUAACACAUGCAAGUCGAACGAGACCUUCGGGUCUAGUGGCGCACGGGUGCGUAACGCGUGGGAACCUGCACUUAGGUUCGGAAUAACUCCCCGAAAGGGGUGCCAAUACCGGAUAAUGUCUUCGGACCAAAGAUUUAUCGCCUUUGGAUGGGCCCGCGUUGGAUUAGCUUGUUGGUAGGGUAAAAGCCUACCAAGGCGACGAUCCAUAGCUGGUCUGAGAGGAUGAUCAGCCACACUGGGACUGAGACACGGCCCAGACUCCUACGGGAGGCAGCAGAGGGGAAUAGUGGACAAUGGGCGAAGGCCUGAUCCAGCAAUGCCGCGUGAGUGAUGAAGGCCGUAGGGUUGUAAUGCUCUUUUACCCGGGAUGAUAAUGACGGUACCGGGAGAAUAAGCCCCGGCUAACUCCGUG